UGGAAUGAGACCUUUGUUCUCCCCAGGAACACAAAGUUCACCAUCCUUCACACAUUCCACAGAACCCAGCUUUAACAGACUGCAUAAGACUACUUUACAUCUCCUAUAAGGACAAUGACUUUUAAGAUGAUGCACCAUAGUUUGGAAACUUGUUGCCUCUUUUAAUGUCAUUCCGUAUGUGUGUCAUGCUUAUAGCCACCAGGUCAUUAUGAUGCUUUUUUAUUGUUUAACACGGACCAUAGUGUUCGUGUGUGUAUCAAUAACACCAGGUAUGUCAUGUUUGUUAUGUGUGUGAUCACUAUUGAAUUUCCUAAGGGUUGGUAUAAUGUAAAGUUGAGUACGAUGUAUUACAUGCAUGUUACCAAAUUCCUUAACAAAGUUCUAACUUAACCUUAUGCAAAGUUUGUAAAGCACAUAACUCAGAGACCAGAAUGUUAAUUAGUGUCAGAGGAGGAGAAUACAGUUUACACCCUGCCCCAAGAUCCUGCUGAUUGGAGCAAACACUUUGGGGUCAGCCCAACUGGAAAGGGUUAAAACCCCCUGACACAAAGGAAACUCUGAGUCUCAUCCAACACACCUCUGCAAGAGUCUCAUCCAAUCCAUCUUCCAAGAGUCUCAUCCACUACAUCUCUGCAAGAGUCUCCAUCCACAUCUGAAGGAAGUCUCAUCAACCAAGAGCUUUAGAAGUUCAUCACGAGGAGAUCACGCUUGCUCCGAGACUCUGCAUCCAGACUGGUUCUUGCAAAGCCUCCAACUCUCGCCUUCGCACCGCUGUGAACCAUUCUUCAAAGUUUUGCAGACUAUGAGACUCUGCCGGGUUCGCGCCUCACUCUGUUUAUCUUCCUCAUUGGUCUUUCGAGACGCUACAUAAGGCCAACCAGACCGCCGACCAAUCAACAUCGCCGGAAAAUCCUUCCAAACAACAACGCAACGAGGGAAUCCCUGGCAACACAAACGCAAAUGAAUAAUGAGACGACAUGGACACCAGGGCUGUAACCAGGAGGUUCAGACUCUUUACUGAAAUUGACUGUUGAUGAAGUCACCAUGAUGUCAUCUAUGACGUUUAUCACACCUUCAAGACCUUCUAACAUCUGUGCGAUUGGCUGAAGACACACCAAACAAUGAAUAAUGAGAAGACAUGGACACCAGGGCUGUAACCAGGAGGUUCAGACUCUUUACUGAAAUCGACUGUUGAUGAUGUCACCAUUUUUCCAGGCACUCUCAAGUUGGAGGUCAUGUUUCCUUCUCUAGAUUACAGCAGGACACACGUUUACUUCACUCCAACAUCGGUGUGUUAAAUCAAACCCUGUAUCAGCACAGAGUUCACUUACAGGAAAUAGUCACGGUAUCAAGUCCUAAAACAACCUGUGUACAUUAAACCUUCAGUACAAACCCACAAAACUCUUCUGCAUCUAGUGUCACUUCAGUGUGUUUAUAUAUUAUAGCUUUAGAUGUAGAUACUCACUGUGUUUAUAUAUUAUAGCUUUAGAUUUAGAUACUCACUGUGUUUUUUCUCCUGAAAUGGUUUAUUUUCCCCUCGACACAAAAUGGAGCUGCUGAGUUACACUUUCACUUCACUUUUCACUUUAACUGUUUAUUCUGCAGAGGGGAAGUGUGUGUGUGUGUGUGUGUGUGUGUGUGUGUGUGUGUGUGAGCGUGUGAGCAAUGUUUAUGUAAAUGAACAAUAUUUAAUGGUGGAUUUUUAAGUGAUUCUAGUAAAAUAGUAAACAGUAAAAACUGAUUAGUGCAUUUUCACAUGUUAUGAAACUUGUUUUAUAUUCAAAGUGGACUCUCUCCAAUCUUUCUGUUUUGUAAUUACAGCAUAGAACAUGUAUUAAUUAAGCUAUCCAAUUUCCAUAUUCCAAUAUUUUACAAAAAUAAUGGAAAGCAAUAAGAUUUCCUUCCCUGUAUAUCUUUUUUCCUAUAUUGUCAAACAUGUAUUUAUUUUUGUGUUUUGUUAUUUCUCAAAACUCUUUUUUCCACCAAAUGAGUGUGUGUAUCAGGAUUCACAAAUAAAGGUGUUCAGUUGAUGUC